rnacentral:rRNA from 1 species
AACGAACGCUGGCGGCAGGCCUAACACAUGCAAGUCGAACGCUCUAGCAAUAGAGAGUGGCAGACGGGUGAGUAACGCGUGGGAACCUUCCCAAUGGUGCAGAAUAGCCCAGGGAAACUUGGGGUAAUACUGCAUAAGCCCUUCGGGGGAAAGAUUUAUCGCCAUUGGAUGGGCCCGCGUCGGAUUAGCUAGUUGGUGAGGUAAUGGCUCAGCAAGGCAACGAUCCGUAGCUGGUUUGAGAGAAUGACCAGCCACACUGGGACUGAGACACGGCCCAGACUCCUACGGGAGGCAGCAGUGGGGAAUCUUGGACAAUGGGCGCAAGCCUGAUCCAGCCAUGCCGCGUGAGUGACGAAGGCCUUAGGGUUGUACAGCUCUUUUGCCGGGGACGAUAAUGACGGUACCCGGAGAAUAAGUCCCGGCUAACUUCGUGCCAGCCGCCGCCGUAA